rnacentral:rRNA from 1 species
UACAGAGGAGCCAAGCGUUGUCCGGAUUGACUGGGCGUAAAGCGCACGCAGGCGGUCGCGCGCGUGGGGUGUGAAAUCUGGCCGCUUAACGGCCAGGCGCCAUCCCAUACGGCGCAACUGGAGGGCUGCAGAGGUCGAUGGAAUUGCCGGUGUAGUGGUGAAAUGCGCAGAUAUCAGGAAGAACACCCGUGGCGAAGGCGGCUCUCUGGGACGGUACUGACGCUGAGACGCGAAAGCGUGGGGAGCAAACAGG